GGAGAGAUGGCUGAGAGGCCUAAAGCGACGUUCUGCUAAGACGUAGAUGGUCAAACCAUCCGUGGGUUCGAAUCCCACUCUCUCCG
rnacentral:tRNA from 1 species